rnacentral:lncRNA from 1 species
GGAAGAAGGUGAAGGAGAAGCUCAGCAACUUCCUCCCCGACCUGCCCGGCAUGAUCGACCUGCCCGGCUCCCACGACAGCAGCAGCCUGCGCUCGCUCAUCGAGAAGCCGCCCAUCUGUGGCAGCUCCUUCACCCCGCUCACGGGUGCCAUGCUGACCGGCUUCCGCCUGCACGCCGGCCCGGUGAGCCCCGGGGCCUGGAGCCUGGGGGGUGGGAGGGGCCCGGCCUGGCCUGACCAGCCCCGUUUCUCCACAGCUGCCCGAGCAGUGCCGGCUGAUGCAUAUCCAGCCGCCUAAGAAGAAGAAUAAGCACAAGCACAAACAGAGCCGCACGCAGGACCCCGUCCCCCCAGGUAAGGGCUGCUGCAGCCACCCCCCUCCUCCCCUUCAACACCAGCAGAGCAUUGGCUCAUCCAGUGCUUGCAUUUCUCCAGAAACCCCCUCGGACUCCGACCACAAGAAGAAAAAGAAGAAAAAAGAGGAGGAUCCGGAGCGGAAGAGGAAGAAGAAAGAGAAGAAGAAAAAGAAGAAUCGGCACAGCCCGGAGCACCCAGGGGUGGGCAGCUCCCAGGCCAGCAGCAGCUUACGCCCCCCAGGACCAGGGGCACGGACUCUGUGGGUGCUGACCUCGGGCUUUUGUACCUGAAGAAGCAUCAAAGCCUCUUUUAGUUACUUUUAAAGUCUGCUCUGAGGAGGGGGCUGGUGGCCAUGGCUGCUGUGACCCUCAGCUGUCAUGGAGGAGCCCAAACCAAGGUGUCCCUGGAGCGUGCGGGGUGCCCUCCUCUGGAUCCCAAACCUCACCAGCACCCACGACACCUUCCCUGGAACUGCUUUUCCCAUGCCUGGAAAAUUCUUACCUUCUGUGGGAGCAGAGUUUGCCUCAAGGUGGUGCCUCCCCAAAACUGGGCCAGGCUCAGCUCUUACCAGACCCCCUUCUCUCUCUCUCGGGAUCGGGGGGAAGGCUGAGACCCUGAGGAUCAGGAGCCCUGGAGGGGCUGCUCCAUCCCUGGACACCAAACAAAGCACACGCACGGCCCUGGGGUGGCUCAUUAAAUAUCCUUUUAUUCCUCGUUUUUAAAAUGGCUGAUAAUAAUAAAAAACCCUGUCGUGGCUGUGCGGGGCCA